AUACAGUCACUUCAGGUUCGCAGUGCAUUAGUGUGCCUUCUUUAACCUUGUACAGCACUGAAUAUGGUUUUUUGGAUUCGGUCACGUGAGUGCGCUCUGGUGAUCGGAUGUUGUUGGUAGUUGCUGCGCAUGGUGCUCAUUGCGCAUGUUCUUCCGGAUUCUGCUCUCUAUAAAGGAGUGACGCAAUAAAAUGAUGUCAAUUGAGAGUAGCGCCUUGUCCUGUCGUCUUUUUUGUGUCCGUUGUUUUGCACUAAACAAAGUAAUUAUGUAAAAAAACAUUUG
rnacentral:lncRNA from 1 species